rnacentral:rRNA from 1 species
AGAGCGAACGCUGGCGGCAGGCCUAAUACAUGCAAGUCGAGCGCACCUUCGGGUGAGCGGCGGACGGGUGAGUAACGCGUGGGAACGUGCCCUUUGGUACGGAACAACUGAGGGAAACUUCAGCUAAUACCGUAUGUGCCCUUCGGGGGAAAGAUUUAUCGCCAUUAGAGCGGCCCGCGUCUGAUUAGCUAGUUGGUGGGGUAAAGGCCCACCAAGGCUACGAUCAGUAGCUGGUCUGAGAGGAUGAUCAGCCACACUGGGACUGAGACACGGCCCAGACUCCUACGGGAGGCAGCAGUAGGGAAUCUUGCGCAAUGGGCGAAAGCCUGACGCAGCCAUGCCGCGUGAAUGAUGAAGGUCUUAGGAUUGUAAAAUUCUUUCAGCGGGACGAUAAUGACGGUACCGCAGAAGAACGCCCGGCUAACUUCGUGCCAGCAGCCGC